UAGCUUUGUUUAAUCAUGGAACUAUACUAAUGGAACACCAGCUUCGAGAUUUUAUGAUCAGAGUGCCGUCGCGCAUCUUUUUUCGCGCACCAUACCAUUUUGAAAAAUCGAUGAGGAUGCCAAAGAAGAAAUUUACUCCGAGAGCCACUUGGAUUGACCUUCAUUGAGAGUAAAACUUCCCCACACUAUAUUUUAUUAGAUCUGUAAAAACUUUAUCCAUUUUCUGACUAUAUGAUAAAAUAGAUACAAUUUCCCUGAAUAAUGGAUCGUCACAAAAGAUUUUUUUUUUAAGGCCACUUCGUUAAAAUAGGUGUUUCCAGUACUUCCUCAUUUGGGUAUUUUACACAAAAUCUGGAAUUUUUUUUUAUGUACAUGUCAUUAUUAUCAUCUGUCCCGCGUAACCAAACCAUCCACUUUUCCCGGUCACCAAUGUUCUUAACAAGAUAUCAAGAGAGAGAGGCUGGUCCAUUAUUUGCGUAGUCCAGCCAGCUUUUUUUUUUUGACAACCUUUUUUCGUUCUCUCUCAUGAAGGAUAUGUUUUAAAAAUUAGUCUUACAAAAUACAAUUCCAAACCAACUCAUGCAGUUAUCGUUUUUUCACAGUAUUGAGGAGUCAUCCUUUUUGCUAGCCAGAGUGUUAAUUGGCAAAAGUGAAAAAUUCAUUUGUUUAAUUUUUUAAAUUAUUAACAAGUAGAACCAUGGCAACCAGUUCUGAUGAUGUACCAGAAUGGCUCAAGGAUCAUACUUAUACUAUUUCUACUCUCUGGGCAGACAUUAAUAAUAUUGGCAUCCAUUCAAUAUUUAAUUUAUGUUUGGAAAUGCAAGAAAAAGGCAUGCAUUCCUGAAAAGUCAAUGAUUGGUUGCACCUCUUAAAGAUAACUUUCUGUUAUGAGAAAAGAUGAGAUUCUUGGACUCCUGCAUAGCACCACCAGAAAUGAAAAUCCCAUCAUGUUGCAAAAUAAAAGUCUUGGACCAAUUUUAAUUUAAGAUAUAUAUAUUAUACUGUAAGCUGUAUAGAUAUUUAUGUAUAUCCUGUCAUUCAGCCAACAGGUUUGGAUUUAGUAUUUCUUUAAAUCUGUUUGAUAUUGUACUUGAAAACUAUUAAUCUGAGCCCCAUUAAAACAAGAGGGAGUGCAGUGGAUGAGUGGUAAGGGAAAUUUUACUUUUUUAAAAUUAAAAUAAGAAUUUAACAAAAGUAAACAUAUAAAAUAUGGUGCAUUCUCUUUAAAACUAAAACCUGGUGCAAAGGUUUAAAAUGUUGGCAAAAAAAAGCAACAUCAAUUAAAUAUUCUUAAUUCCCUUUGCAAAACUUACUGAGAAGAACAUGCAUGUUGUUCCCUCAUAAGUUUCUUGACAGAGGAAAUCUUGUUUAUAUUAGAUUUGAAUUAAGCAAAUUAAGAAAAAAAUUAUAAUCAUUAUUUCAAAUGGUUGUAUCUAAACCUUAUGAAUUAUUUUUCAGUUAUAAGUAUAUUGAAAUGAAUGGAUAAUCAUGGAAUUGUUAAAUAAUUGCUGCUAUCAUUCCAUUGACUAAAGAACCAUAAUUUUUUUUUUAUUAAUUUCAAAAUGAUUUUUUUCAAGCAGAGUUCACAUAGAUCUUGAGUGAAAAUUUUUCUUUUUUUGACUAAUGCUUCAAUUUUAUUGUAUCAUUAGUUUUUUAUUUUUAUUACCCAGAAUAUUUUAAAAAUGAGCACACUAUUUUCAUGUAAUAAUGUAACUUGGUAUUCACACA